UUUCUCACGGGCAGUUCUUUGCUCUCCUGGGCAGCUCUUUGCUCUCCUGCCGCUGCCGGCUGGGCACUUUUCCUGCUGAUGUGAUUUUUGACCCACCCUGGUGAUGGGGAAACACGGAGAGAAAGGACCUGGCUCUUCUGCCCAGCAGCCGGUGCUGAGGCCUAAUGGGCUGUGAAAUCUCACCCAAAGAAACAGCGGCAUGUGUGCUGAGGGAGAGCGGCAGCCUCGGUGCUCCCGGGAUCACCGUGCUCCUGCUGCCCCCUGAAACCCCAGGGCCCUUCUGCCUGCAGCUGGGACCUGUCACCCUGAACCUCCCUGAGCUGGACCAGCUCCUGCAGCCCUGGGCAUGGCUGGGCAUCGCUGCAUGCACAGCCCAGCUCCGUACCAGGAACAGCACCGACAGGAGCAGGGUCCCCUUACCCAGGCAGGAGGUCUCAGUCCCCCAAGCCAGGCAGGAAUGCCCAAGAAGGCUGGAGGUGUCUGCAGGACGGGAUGAGCUGGAUGCAGACCUUGGCCCUCAGCACCAACCACAGAUCCCGAGAACAGACAGAUGAGGAGAAUCAUCCUCACAAGGAGGAAUUAGUAACGAGCCCGCUCCGAGCCCGCUCAGAGCCGGCGUUUGCUCUGCCACUGCUUCGCGUUCCCACGGCCUUCAGGCAAACACCAAAUCCCUGGAGAUGCUGUUACGAGCUGGGAUCAGGGACUGGUUACCGGGAGCAGGGACGUGCAGCCACACUGCACAGCCCCGAUCACAGCACAGAGUCAAUUGUUCAGCCCAAAGCAGUCCAGCCACUCGCAUCAGCUCAUUUCUGUGCCAUGAAACAGGGGGGUUGGAGUGUCCCAGGGACUGGAGGGUCCCUCUGCGGUGGCUAAAGACCCCAGAAACCCCCUGCAGCUGGAGCAGAGAGUGGUGCUUUGCUCCCCCACAGCUCUGCAGAGGCAGUGGCAGCCCCAAAGAGCCCACUCCUGAUGGUGUCUGUGGCCUGGGGCCAGCAAAACCUUCGGCCAGCAGGGCCACACCUGCACCUCCCUUGCUUUGGGCACCACCCAGGGACCAGAACCUGUGAACUGGGUGGCACAAGGAGCAGGACAGUGGCACUAACUGUGGCUGUGCCUCACAGGGGGGUGGCAGCCCCCUUCCAGCCCAUCCCUGUGUCCUCCCUGGUGCCCCAGGCUUGGCUUUCUCCGCAGAGGCUGCUUGCUCUCUUUGUGGGGGAGAAAGGGAUUUGUACUAAAGCUCUUUGCAUGAAAAAAUAAAAUCCAUACUGUGCUGCUUUGCUCUG